rnacentral:other from 1 species
GUUUCAAUCCCUUACAGGUAGGUUACAAAC